ACAGUCACUGUGGGUUCCUAGUCCCUCGUUCCUCUACAGACAGUCACUGUGUGUCCCUAGUCCCUCGUUCCACUACAGACAGUCACUGUGUGUCCCUAGUCCCUCCUCCUCUACAGACAUUCACUGUGUGUCCCUAGUCCCUCCUCCUCUACAGACAGUCACUGUGUGUCCCUAGUCCCUCCUCCUCUACAGACAUUCACUGUGUGUCCCUAGUCCCUCCUCCUCCACAGACAGUCACUGUGUGUCCCUAUCCCUCGUUCCUCUACAGACAGUCACUGUGUGUCCCUAGUCCCUCGUUCCACUACAGACAGUCACUGUGUGUCCCUAGUCCCUCCUCCUCUACAGACAUUCACUGUGUGUCCCUAGUCCCUCCUCCUCUACAGACAGUCACUAUGUGUCCCUAGUUCCUCGUUCCUCUGCAUUCCUCUGCAUACUGUGUAGUUCACCAGGACUUCUCCUGAAAGGUCUGGGUCUGCUGUUUCACACACACUGGGUGUGUUCCAGGUGGUCUGUUUUGCAGUCAUGCUGCACAUCUCAGAAGAUUUCAAUAUGUAAUAUUUAUGAGCUGCCUGAGAUGUUAAAAAAACCUCUCCAGGAACGCACCCACACCUAAUACUGUAAACAUGUCUGUGUGUUUUCUGCAGUUUCCUUCCUCAAUGCUAAUACUGUAAACAUGUCUGUGUGUUUUCUGCAGUUUCCUUCCUCAAUGCUAAUACUGUAAACAUGUCUGUCUGUUUUCUACAGUUUCCUUCCUCAAUGCUAAUACUGUAAACAUGUACUGUGUGUUUUCUGCAGUUUCCUUCCAGCCCUACCACAGUGAGGCACGUUGUUAGCUCAACACAACAAUGUAAAUAUUGUGUAACGUAAAAGUGUCAGGGAUUCACGGUAAACAUUCCUCUGACGCAUUGUGAUGCAUGCUAUACAUACGUACUGUAACUAGGGUGUAUUUUUGGUGUACUUUUCUGUUUUGUUAUAUAAUAUGAAAUGUAUGAGGAUAACAAUAAUAGCUUAUUAAAUAUAAUUCUGA
ensembl:lncRNA